rnacentral:lncRNA from 1 species
AUGAAAGAGCUCGGAUUUUCCCUAGAGAGCGGCCAACUCCUUGGACUGGUGCUCCGCUGCCACCUCAAGGAUGGCUGGACGGUUCCCUGGGACGACAGGGGGGUCCUGUUCUGAACACAGGCCACCCACUGGGUGUGAACUCGGAUCCCUUCCUUAUGGCGGCUGGUUUUCUUGGUGGAAAUCUGGCCCCAUUUCCAAGGAACUCAUCUCCUUUUCCAGCUUCAUCAGGCUCAUUGGCUUCAAAUCCAGCACCUUUCCCGGCUGGUGCUCGUGACCCAAGCAUGGCUUCUUUUCCAAGAGGGAUGAAUCCCACUGGCACAGGUGCAGUUUCUUUCCCAAGGCCUGGUGGCUUCUUGGGGCCAGGCCCGGGACGAGGCCCCACCCUAAACCCUAGGACAGGGGCUCUUCCAGGCCUGGGGCCUCUGUCUAAUCCCAGGUUAGGGGGUCUCCCAGGACCAGGUCCUAUAUCCAACCUAAGGGCAGGUAGUCUCCUGGGAGCAGGUCCUGACCCCAGAAGUGGUGGUCCCAUGGGCCCUGGAUCUGGACCUAACCUGAGAGCAGGUGUUCUGUUGACUUCUGGGAAUGGUCCUCCCAAUCCUUGGCCAGUUGGCCUGGGCCCAGGACCAAACCCCAAUCUGAGAUCAGGCUUUUUAGGGACAAACCCUGCCCCCACGUUAGGUGUGUUUCCAAGACCAAGUGGCCUGGGCCUGGGCCGUAAUCUAGAUGCCAGAGCAGGUGGCCUCUUGGGCACAGGACCUGGUCUUAAGAAUAGCUGGACCUCAAGGCCUCGAUCUUUUCCCCAUUCUAAGAGCGGCAGGUCUUUUAGGAGCAAAUUCAGCUUGUCACAGGCUUCUGGAAACAUGGGCACAAGCCCGUCUUCCAUGGCAAGAGUACCUGGCCCCAUGGGUCCAAACUUGGGUCCUGGCCCUCGGGAAAUUGGCCUUCCAGGGCCAAAUCCAUCUCCCAUGUCAAGGGCUCCUGGCCCCAUAGGCCCUAAUUCAGCUCAUUUCUCAAGGCCAGGGGGCCCCAUGGGGGUAAAUGCCAAUCCCUUUCCCAGGGGAGCGGGUUCAUCUGCCUUCUCUCAGUCUUCUGGCACAUUGGCAUCAAACCCAGCUAUCUUCCAAAGGUCUGCUGGCCUCCAGGGCUCAAAUCCAACAGUUUUCCCAAGAGCCUCUGGGCCACUUGGCCCCAACCCAGCUAACUUCCCAAGGGCCGCUGGCCUGCAGGGUCCAAGUCUGACUACCUUCCCAAGGUCUACUGGCCCAUUAGGCUCUGGUCAAGUUACUUUCUCCAGGUCAGCUGCCGGGCACCUGGGCUCUUCUCCAGCAGGCCCUGUGGGUACCAACCCAGCUCCUUUCGCAAGGCCAACUGGGACCCUGGGUCUCAACCCGGCUUCCUUUCCAAGGAUGAAUGGCCCUGCAGGCAAGAGUUUGGUCCCAUUUCCUAGAGUGGGGAGCCUCCCUGGCACAAACCCAGCUGCUUUCCCCAGACCAGGGGGUCCAAUGGCUGCAGUGUACCCAAAUGGAAUGUUACCCCCUUAA